CCUUGAGACAAAGGUUGACUUACGAAUUGUGUCAGGUCCGGAAGGAAGCAGCACUAAGUAUUUUUGAUCUUGUGUCUCUCGUUUAUA
rfam:Lactobacillus curieae strain CCTCC M 2011381, complete genome.